CCUACGGGCGGCAGCAGUGAGGAAUAUUGGUCAAUGGCCGUAAGGCUGAACCAGCCAAGUCGCGUGAAGGAAGAAGGAUCUAUGGUUUGUAAACUUCUUUUAUAGGGGAAUAAAGGUAUCCACGUGUGGAUAUUUGCAUGUACCCUAUGAAUAAGCAUCGGCUAACUCCGUGCCAGCAGCCGCGGUAAUACGGAGGAUGCGAGCGUUAUCCGGAUUUAUUGGGUUUAAAGGGUGCGUAGGCGGAUUUUUAAGUCAGCGGUAAAAUGUCCGGGCAAAACCCGGGCCGGCGGUUGAAACUGGGGAUCUGGAGUGGGCGAGAAGUAUGCGCAGUGCGUGGUGUAGGGGUGAAAGGCAUAGAUGUCACGCAGAACUGGGAUGGGGAAGGCAGCAUACCGGCGCCCGACUGACG
rnacentral:rRNA from 1 species